UCGAGCGGUAAGGCCCUUCGGGGUACACGAGCGGCGAACGGGUGAGUAACACGUGGGUGAUCUGCCUUGCACUCUGGGAUAAGCCUGGGAAACUGGGUCUAAUACCGGAUAUGACCUGCCUCUGCAUGGGGGUUGGUGGAAAGAUUUAUCGGUGCGAGAUGGGCCCGCGGCCUAUCAGCUUGUUGGUGGGGUAAUGGCCUACCAAGGCGACGACGGGUAGCCGGCCUGAGAGGGCGACCGGCCACACUGGGACUGAGACACGGCCCAGACUCCUACGGGAGGCAGCAGUGGGGAAUAUUGCACAAUGGGCGGAAGCCUGAUGCAGCGACGCCGCGUGAGGGAUGACGGCCUUCGGGUUGUAAACCUCUUUCGACAGGGACGAAGCGCAAGUGACGGUACCUGUAGAAGAAGCACCGGCCAACUACGUGCCAGCAGCCGCGGUAAUACGUAGGGUGCGAGCGUUGUCCGGAAUUACUGGGCGUAAAGAGCUUGUAGGCGGUUCGUCGCGUCGAUUGUGAAAACUUGCAGCUCAACUGCAAGCUUGCAGUCGAUACGGGCGGACUAGAGUACUUCAGGGGAGACUGGAAUUCCUGGUGUAGCGGUGAAAUGCGCAGAUAUCAGGAGGAACACCGGUGGCGAAGGCGGGUCUCUGGGAAGUAACUGACGCUGAGAAGCGAAAGCGUGGGUAGCGAACAGGAUUAGAUACCCUGGUAGUCCACGC
rnacentral:rRNA from 1 species